GAGGGUAUAGCUCAGUGGAGAGCACAUGCCCAGCAUGCACAAGGUCCUGGGUUCAAUCCCCAGUACCGCUA
rnacentral:tRNA from 1 species